rnacentral:rRNA from 1 species
GACGAACGCUGGCGGCGUGCCUAAUACAUGCAAGUAGAACGCUGAAGGCGGAGCUUGCUCUUCUGGAUGAGUUGCGAAUGGGUGAGUAACGCGUAGGUAACCUGCCUGGUAGCGGGGGAUAAUUAUUGUAAACGAUAGCUAAUACCGCAUAAGAGUGGAUGUUGCAUGAGAUUUACUUAAAAGGUGCAAUUGCAUCUCUACCAGAUGGACCUGCGUUGUCUUAGCUAGGUGGUGGGGUAACGGCUUACCAAGGCGACGAUACAUAGCCGGCCUGAGAGGGUGAUCGGCCACCCUGGGACUUGGACACGGCCCAGACUCCUGCGGGAGGCAGCAGGAAGGAAUCUGCGGCAAUGGACGGAAGGCUGACCGAGGAACGCCGCGUGAGGGAAGAAGGUUGUCGGAUCGUAAGGCUCUGUUGUAAGAGAAGAACGAGUGUGAGAGUGGAAAGUUCACACUGUGACGGUAUCUUACCAGAAAGGAACGGCUAACUACGUG